rnacentral:SRP_RNA from 2 species
GCUGGGUGUGGUGGUGGGCGCCUGUAAUCCCAGCUACUUGGGAGGCUGAGGCAGGAGAAUCCCAUGAACCCGGGAGGUGGAGGUUGCAAUGAGCCGAGAUCGCACCACUGCACUCCAGCCGGGGUGACAGAGCAAGACUCUAUCUCAAAAAUAAAUAAAUAAUUAAAACAAAAAUAUAAGAAUUUUUAUUUUCUUUCUAUUUUUUCCCCUUUUUUUUUUUUGAGAUGGAGUCUUGCUCUGUCGCCCAGGCUGGAGUGCAGUGGUGCGAUCUCGGCUCACUGCAACCUCCACCUCCUGGGUUCAAGUGAUUCUCCUGCCUCAG